rnacentral:rRNA from 1 species
UACGUAGGGGGCUAGCGUUGUCCGGAAUCAUUGGGCGUAAAGCGCGUGUAGGCGGCCCGGUAAGUCCGCUGUGAAAGUCCAGGGCUCAACCCUGGGAUGCCGGUGGAUACUGUCGGGCUCGAGUCCGGAAGAGGCGAGUGGAAUUCCUGGUGUAGCGGUGAAAUGCGCAGAUAUCAGGAGGAACACCAAUGGCGAAGGCAGCUCGCUGGGAAGUGACUGACGCUGAGACGCGAAAGCGUGGGGAGCAAACAGG